GAAUAGUGGAACCUGUUGCAUAAACAGGCUUGUGGAUUCAUUAGGCAAUGGGUCGAUGAUAAUGUGUUGAACCAUAUUUCUGGGGAAAUACAUGCUCGAACCCUAUGGGGGCAUCUUGAAAGUUUAUAUGCUCCAAAGACUGGCAACAACAAAAUGUUCUUAAUAAAGCAGAUGUUGAGUUUGAAAUAUCAUGAUGGUUCUCCGGUGACAGACCGUCUGAAUAAUUUUCAGGGGAUUAUGAAUCAAUUAUCUGCUAUGGGCAUCAAAUUUGAUGAAGAAAUUCAAGUCUUGCUUCUACUUGGAUCCCUACCAGAUUUAUGUGAAACAUUUAGAACGCCAUUGUCAAAUUCUGCUCCGGAUGGUGUGAUCACUAUGGAAUCCACCAAGAGUAGUGUCUUGAACGAAGAGAUGAGAAGAAAAACUCAAAGUUCCUCUUCGUUGGAUGUCCUGAUAACUGGCCCCAGGGGGAGAAAUAAAACUCGUGGUUCUCACUAUAGAGAACAAAAUAGGAGCAAAUCCAAAGGCAGACUUAAGGAUAUUGAGUGCUAUCAUUGUGGCAUGAAAGGGCACACAAAGAAGUUCUGUAGGAAGUUGAAGAGGGAAAACAAAAACAAAAAGGACACUAAAGAAGAUGGCAAUGAAAACUGCCUAGCCACCAUCACCACCGAAGAUCUUGUUACCAUUCUUGAUGCAAACAUGAUAAAUAUUGCUUGUGAUGAGUCAAGCUGGGUUGUGGACACUGGUGCCGCAUCUCAUGUGACAUCAAGGAAGGAUUUUUUUCUUUUCCUACACUCCUGGUGAUUUUGGAACCUUGAGUAUGGUGUAAUGAGACUGUUUCUAGGGUGGUUGGUAUUGGUACAAUUUGUUUGGAAAUUAGUGUUGAAACUAAACUAGUUUUGAACAAUGUGAAACAUGCUCCUUAUGUUCGUCUGCACCUGAUUUCUGUUGGUGUUUUAGAUGAUGAAAAAUAUGUUAGUACCAAUAGUGAUGGAAAAUGGAAGCUCAUUAAGGGUUCCUUGGUUGUGGCUCAUGGUAACAAACGUCGUGGUCUAUACUAGACUACGGCCUCUACUUGUGUUGAUAUGGUGAAUACGGUUGAAGCGAUAGCUCUUCAACAUUAUGGCACAAGAGACUUAGCCACAUUAGCGACAAAGGACUUAAUGUUCUAGCCAAGAAGAAAUUAUUAUCAAAGUUCCAAAGUGCUAAAUUAGAAAAAUGUGAACACUACUUGACUGGUAAACAAAAUAGAGUUUCCUUUAAGUCCUACCCUCCUUCGAGAAAGACAGAGUUGCUUGAGUUAGUGCACUCUGAUUUAUGUGGUCCAAUGAAGACAAAGACAUAAGGUGGUGCACUUUACUUUAUCACUUUCAUUGAUGAUUGCUCGAGAAAACUUUAGGUCUAUGUCUUGAAGACUAAAGACCAAGUGUUAGGUGUCUUUAAGCCGUUUCAGGCUUCAGUUGAAAGAGAAACUGGAAAGAAAGUGAAAUGUAUUCGUAUUGAUAAUGGUGGUGAAUAUUGUGGAUCAUUUGACGAAUACUGCAAGUAUCAAGGUAUUAGACACCAUAAGACUCCUCAGCUUAAUGGUUUGGCUGAGAGGAUGAACAAGACCUGUUUGCUUUCUGAAGCAAAGUUGCCAAACUCUUUUUGGGGUGAGGCUUUAUUGACCGUUGCACAUGUUAUUAAUCUAUCUACUACUGUUGCUUUGCAAAGUGAUGCCAAAUAGUGUUUGGUAUGGAAAGGAUGUUUCCUACGACCAUUUGAGAGUAUUUGGUUGCAAAGCUUUUGUACAUGCUCCGAAAGAUGAGAGGUCAAAGUUACAUGCCAAGACAAGGCAAUGUAUCUUCAUUUGAUAUGGCCUAGAUGAAUUUGGUUACAGGCUAUAUGAUCCAAUUGAAAAGAAACUUGUGAGAAGCCGUGAUAUUAUUUUCAUUGAGAAUCAAACAAUUGAAGAUAUUGACAAAGCGAAGAAGGUAGAAUCUUCAAGUUUUGAUGGUAUAGUUCAUCAUGAUGAAGUUCCUCACGCAAGUGUGCAUGAUGUUGUUGGAUUUGAUAAUCAUGGUGAUGCCCAGAACCAUGUAUCGAAUCAACAUGUUGAUGUUGAUAAUAACAAUGAUAUUGUUAUUGAUGAUCCUGUUUCUCAUGAAGUUGUGGACGAAUCAAAUAUUCUGCUUCGGAGGUCCACAAGACAGCGGUUUCCUUUCUCCCGUUAUUCCCCAAAUGAGUAUGUGUUACUCAGUGAUGGGGGAGAACCUGAAUGUUAUGAGGAGGCCAUGGAAUAUGAGCACAAGAAUCAAUGGAUUGAAGCCAUGCAAGACGAGAUGAAGUCUUUGCAUAAGAACCACACUUAUGAGUUGGUAAAAUUGCCCAAGGGCAUGAGAGCUUUGAAGAACAAGUGGUGUUCAAAGUUAAAGUUGAAGAACACAACUUGAAGCCCAGGUACAAAGCUAGAUUGGUUGUUAAGGGAUUCGGUCAAAGGAAAGGUAUUGACUUUGACGAAAUAUUUUCUCCUAUUGUGAAAAUGUCCUUGAUUAGGACAGUUCUAGGUUUGGCUGCUAGUCUUAAUUUAGAGAUUGAGCAGAUGGAUGUGAAGAUGGCUUUCCUUCACGGUAACCUAGAAGAAGAGAUUUAUAUGGAACAACCUGAGGGCUUCAAAGUAGAUGGUAAAGAAAAUUUUGUAUGCAAAUUCAAAAAGAGUCUUUAUGGCCUAAAACAAGCUCCCGACAAUGGUACAAAAAGUUUGAAUCUGUUAUGGGAGAGCAAGACUAUAAGAAGACUUCUUCAGAUCAUUGCGUAUUGUAUAAAAAAUUUCUGACAGAGAUUUUAUCAUCAUUUUGUUGUAUGUCGAUGAUAUGUUGAUUGUGGGCAAGAAUACUUCCAAAAUUGACGAGCUGAAGAAAGAGUUGUGUAAGUCUUUUUAUAUGAAAUACUUGGGUCAUGCCAAACAAAUUUUGGGCAUGAGAAUUAAUCGUCUUAGAGAUAUAAGGAAGAUUUAUUUGUCCCAGAAGAAGUACAUUGAAUGCGUACUGGAGCGCUCCAAUAUGAAGAAUGUUAAUCCUGUUAGUAUACCUCUUGCUGGUCAUAUGAAGUUGAGUAAGAAGAUAUGCCCUACAGCUAGGGAGGAAAAAGACAACAUGGCCAAAGUUCCAUAUUCCUCCGUCGUCGGAAGUCUAAUGUAUGCAAUGGUGUGCACUAGACCUGAUAUUGCUCACGUAGUUGGUGUUGUUAGUAGAUUUCUCGAAAAUCCGGGAAAAGAGCAUUGGGAAGCUAUGAAGUGGAUACUCAGGUAUCUUAGAAGAAGCUCAGAUGAAUGCUUGUGUUUUGGAGCAUCAAAUCCAAUCUUGAAAGGCUAUACAGAUUCUGAUAUGGCAGGUGACCUUGAUAACAAAAAUUCCACUACUGGAUAUUUGUUUACUUUUUCAAGGGGAGCUAUAUCAUGACAGUCAAAGUUGCAGAAGUGUGUUGCACUAUCUACAACUGAAGCUGAGUAUAUCGCGGCUACUGAAGCUGGCAAGGAGAUGAUAUGGCUAAAGAGAUUUCUUCAAGAGCUUGGUUUGAAUCAGAUAGAGUAUAUUGUCUAUUGUGACUGCCAGAGUGCAAUAGACUUGAGCAAAAACUCCAUGUACCAUGUAAAAAAACACAUCGACAUCAUAUAUCAUUGGAUUCGUGAGAAAGUGCAGAAUGAAUCAUUUCACGUCAAAAAGAUUCACACAAGUGAAAAUCCUGCAGAUAUGCUGACCAAGAUGAUACCGAAAGACAAGUUCGAGUUAUGCAAAGAACUUGUGGGUAUGAGCUCUCUCUAAAGAAGUUGAAAUACCUUCUUCCAGUAAAUGGGACUGGAGGGGGAGAUUUGUUGAAUCCAUCCCAUUUUUAGUCAAUUUUAGCUAUUCAAUUGGUACAAGCAAUUGUUAAAAAGGAAUAGUAAUUGGAGUUGAAAAUAAAAGAUUUGGUGGUUGCCAAAUUGGUAAGAUUUGCAACAAUUCUUGACUUUGCUAUAUUUACAUAUGUCAUUAGUGACAUAGGCAUGGUUUUAUUAUUCUAUAAAUAGAGCAUUUUUGCUCAUUUGUAGAACACACCAAGUUUGAGAGAAAAAUCAUUUUGAGAGUAAAGUGAUGUAUUGCAUAGACUAUACAAGAAAAUAGUCUGUGAAGAAAAAUAGAGUGUGAGCGAUAUUUUAGUAAGACGGAAACCAAAAGAGUGUUGUUCCUUUUGAGCGUGUAGUAGUCACUUUGAGUAUUAUAUCCGUGACUACACGGUGUAAAAAUUCCUUACUAUAGUAAUAUCAAUUGCUCCUCUUGGCCCGUGGUUUUUUCCCUUAUUCAGAAGGAUUUCCACGUAAAAUUAUUGGUGUCGUUAUUUUUCCAUUUUAUUUCCAUUACUUUUACCAUAUAUAUUUUUGUGCUCGUCCGCGUUUUCCCAACAACUCCCUCCCUUUUAGAAAGAAUUAUCCUAAUUCCUUUUUAGUAUGUUUAAAAAAAAUAACUUUUUUCCUUUUUUGACAAUACUUUAACUUUAACUUUAAUUCUCCACAAGGCAUGUUUAAGAUCACAAGAUUAAAUGACAUUUUGAUACAUUUGACAUAACUUUAUUUUAGAACCACAAGAUUAAAAAAUUUCUUUCUUUUCUUAAACUUUGUUUCAACUUUCAAGUCAAACUAGAUCAUUCUUUUUUAAAUGGAGGGAGUACUAAUUUAAGAUUUUUUUUUGUUUUUUGAUAAGAUCGAUUUUCCAUGAAUGAAGUUAAAAUUAUAAAUGUAAGUAUUUGUUAUCUAAUUUAUUUAUAAUUGAAAAUUAAUAAAAUCAUCUUAAAAAUUUGGGCUAAAUUUACUAGUGUCUUAUAACUAAAAAUGAUUAUGGUAACUUCUCAUCCACUUAAUUAACCCUUGUGAGUUGUAUUAUUUUUCCUCCAUUCUCUUGAUUAUUAAAUGUUUUGACUAUUUCAAUUUUGGCGAAAUAUUCUCAAUGCCUUUGCAGCAAAGAGCUAUGGAAUGAAAUUGUGAUGGACAUUUAGUUUCAAAACAAGUGACUGUGCGCAAGUUUAGAAAUUAUGUGUUGAGUGUUAAUCACAAGUAAUAGUAUUUAAACAACAUUUCACAAAGUGCUAAAAAAAAAAAAAAAAAAAAAAAACCUUUCAUACUUGUUGUCUCAUUGAGACCGAGCCCUAACUUCGAAAUAAAACUUCUUGUUGUCACGACCGGUCAAUAAAGGGCCAGAACCCCUAGAGAGUUAAAAGGUUCGACCCUUGACCUUGGUAACAACAACAGGAAGGUUUAAAGAAAACGAAAAAAAAUAAAAUAUCAAUAUAAAAAAUUGUUUUAAAAAAAAGGAAAAAAAAUAGAGAUGGGAGGUCCUAAGAUAAAGUAUAGCUUCCUGUUUCUAUGUAUCACUUUUGCUACAAUAAUACCAAGUCUUAUGGCUCAUAUUGGUCACUACGACGAGGUGUGGAGGAGAAGAGCCGAAGAAGCAAAGGAGUAUGCCCGUAAAAUUUAUGAACCACAUCCUGAAAAUGUCACGCUUGCAUUUAACCAAAAACUUCGGGAGUAAGUUAUAACUUUAUUUAUUCUUCAUUUUUCAUGUUUGUCUUUAUGUAUUCACGUUAUGGUUUGUAUUGCAGCACGAUGAAGGAAUUAAAGAAAGUAAAAGGUACACAUAAUAAUAGCACAAGGAGGGGUCUAGGGACAAAAAAGUACACUGGACCAUGCAUGGUCACAAAUCCAAUUGAUAAGUGUUGGAGAUGUGAUCCUAAUUGGGCAGACAAUAGGAAAAAAUUAGCAGAUUGUGCAAUGGGAUUUGGAUCUAAGGCCAUUGGUGGCAAAGACGGUGAAUUCUAUGUUGUCACAGAUAAUUCUGAUGAUUAUAAUGAUCCAAAACCCGGAACUCUUCGUCAUGCUGUUAUCCAAAAGGAGCCAUUGUGGAUCAUAUUUAAAAGGGGUAUGAACAUUAGGUAAGUACGUACGUUUCUCUAUAUAUAUAUAUGCAAUGCAAUGCAAUGCAAAUAGAAUUCAAUGCUCAUAUAUAUAUAUAUAUAUAAUGUUUCAUGAAUAGGUUGCACCAGGAGAUGAUCAUGCAGAGUGACAAGACGAUAGAUGCUCGUGGUGUUAAUGUUCACAUUACUAAAGGUGCUGGUAUAACCCUCCAGUACAUCAAGAAUGUGAUCAUCCACGGACUUCACAUUCAUGACAUCGUUGAGGGUAAUGGUGGAAUGGUUCGGGAUGCUGUUGACCAUAUUGGUAUACGUACAAAGAGUGAUGGAGAUGGUAUUUCAAUCUUCGGUGCAUCAAAUAUAUGGAUUGAUCAUGUGUCUAUGCAACGUUGUUAUGAUGGUUUGAUAGAUGCUGUAGAAGGAUCAACAGGUAUCACUAUAUCAAAUGGACAUUUCACUGAUCACAACGAGGUGAUGUUGUUUGGUGCAAGUGAUAGUUCUUCGAUUGAUCAAGUUAUGCAAAUAACAUUAGCUUUCAAUCAUUUUGGAAAGAGAUUGAUACAAAGAAUGCCAAGAUGUCGAUGGGGAUAUAUACAUGUUGUUAACAAUGAUUAUACUCAUUGGAAUAUGUAUGCCAUUGGUGGUAGCAUGCAUCCUACUAUCAUUACACAGGGUAAUCGUUUUAUAGCACCACCAGACAUCUUCAAGAAACAGGUAACAAAAAGGGAGUACAAUCCAGAAUCAGUUUGGAUGCAAUGGACAUGGAGAUCAGAAGGAAAUCUAUUCAUGAAUGGUGCAUACUUCACUGAAUCAGGAGAUCCAGAAUGGUCAAGCAAACACAAAGAUCUUUAUGAUGGAAUAUCAGCAGCUCCAGCAGAAGAUGUCACUUGGAUGACUAGAUUUGCAGGUGUACUUGGCUGCAAACCAGGAAAACCUUGUUAGAUCACUAAUUCGAGCUCUUCUUUUUUUGUAUCAGAUCACCAACUGAAAAUUCAUUUUUUCCUCUCACUAAAUUAUAACCCUUCGUUUUUCUUUUUCUCCUCAAUGAAGCCUUAACUUUGUACAUUAUUUUUCUAUGUACCUUCAAACAAUUAGUUUCAAAUAACAACAGAUAGCUCUUUAUAUAUUUAUCUCUUCAUUUAAUAUGAUCGAUCUAAACUCUCUAUUUGAGAAUUGCUGCAACAUGUAGCAUGCCAAAACUCAUAAUAGUACCAUUAAUUGUUAAUUCUGAUUUUAACAACUCUCCACAUUUAUUAAAUAUAAUUGCAUUACAUUUUAAUUAUGAUUUUAUUUAUUUGAACGUGCUGUAUCAUAUUGAAUCAAUAAAUAUAUAACGAUCAUAUUAUCAGGGGCGUAGGCACAUGUAUUGGAUAUCCUUCGUCGAAAAACAUACCACAUAUACAAAUAAAAUGAUGCAAGAAAUAUUUAAAAACAUAUUUACAUGGAUUGGGUCAAGCCCAUUGAUUGACUAGAAAAAUAAAAUAGUUAAGUUUCCAUUUCUUCAUUCUUAACAUGUUGAGCUCCAGAGGAACUAAUACCACUGUCAAAGAAAUUUGAUCUGGAAUCUAAUCAUGUCAUAUCGGAGAUGUCGACUUCAGCUAACAAUCCCUUUAUCAUAGACUAUCUGCCGCCUUGCCCUUCAAUUUAAUUUAUUGGAUUAUUGGUUGUUGUUCUUGGUCUUUUGUUGCUUGCUGUAGAUCCAUAUUAUUUUGACUCUUCUUUAUUCUUAUAUAUGGUAAGUCAAAUUUUUAGAGUUCUAACAAUGCCUUCCUUAACUUAAUAUCUCUCUCAAAGAAUUGAUUUUUUCCACCAUUGGACCUGCAAAAUUAAAAAUUAUGUUAGUACAAAAAUUUGCUGACUUGAUUGCCUCCUCUGUAAAUAUUUUCGACUAAGGCUCCAUUGUCUGCUAACACCCUCUUUAAGUAGAAGCAGCUCAAACAUAUUAAUGUCCUAAAACAAAAAUCAAACAAGAUCUUAAACUUGAAUUUUUUAAUAACUUGUAUAUAAUUGAUUUUUUCUAGUUUUCAAUUAAUAAUACGGAAAAGGGCCUAAAAUACCUCGAAGUAUUGAAAAUGGUACACAAUUACCCUCCAUCCACCUAUUGGCCCCCAAAUACCCUUUACAUCCACCUUUGGGUCCAAAUUUACCCCUUCAUUAACAGACCAAAAUUAAAAAUAAUUAAAUAAUAAUUUUUAAUGACGUGGCACUCAACCAUUGGUUGUAAUUUAAUUAUUUAAAAUAAUUUUAAACCCACCCAUUACCCACCCAUUUUAACUAAACCCACUCAUUUUAAUUAUUUAAAAUAACAACAGUGGAUAAUUUACCAGUACAUAAUCUGGUUUACUUACCAUCAAUAGAUUGUUCAUAAUAAUCGUUCAUCUUCUGGAUUUGCUCGAAGAAUGUUCAUCAAUGAUGUCCUGUUUAGCCUUAGAAUCUGAAAAAUCUCGGUUGUUCGAACAGCAAAUGGCUGCGGUCUCCCACAUAAAACACCUAUUUCUCCAAAUAUUUCUCCUGCAACGGCUUUUCCAAUUGUCUGUUUGGGAACAUGAUUGAGAAGAGAGAUUUAGUUAUAUAUCCUAAAGUUGACACUUAAUAAUAAUAGUUACUAUGUAGUAAUAUACAUACUUGCUCUAGCCCUUCAAUCUGUGCUAUAAAUUCCUGCAACAAUAACAUAUAACAUACUGAUUAACAACAUGACAAACACAGCUUUAAUAGUAUACACAAAAUCUAUAAACUGACUUACCACUGCUCCUGAAACUAUUAUAUACAGAUCAGUUGGUGCCUCAUUCUGCAAAAUUACGUCUUGCUUCGGAGGGAAGUAUUCAGCUUCCAUUUCAGGAACCUUAGAAAUCAAAGUAUCACACUGUUAAAACCAAUGCAAGAGUGAUCGAGAGAACAAAAGAGACGGCGAGGGAAGGGGAGAAAAUUACCAGUUGGAAAAGGAGGUUCGGGAAACACCUUGGAACAAAUGAACAUUUUGAACUAUAGGAAAAAACAGAUGGUGUGCAAUGCUUGUUCUAAUGGCUUUAGUCAGGCCAUUUGAUAAACCAGUAAUAUUGCUUUUCCUUUUACAUUUUUCUUUUCUGUUCCCUUCAUAUUUUAGGAUUUGGGGGUGGGGGGGAGGGAGAGAGAAGGGUAAUAAGGGAAAAAUGAAUGGGAAAGUAAUGGGUGGGUUUAGUUAAAAUGGGUGGGUAAUGGGUGGGUUUAAAAUUAUUUUAAAUAAUUAAAUUACAACCAAUGGUUGAGUGCCACGUCAUUAAAAAUUAUUAUUUAAUUAUUUUUAAUUUUGAUCUGUUAAUGAAGGGGUUAAUUUGGACCCAAAGGUGGAUGUGAAGGGUAUUUGGGGGCCAAUAGGCGGAUGGAGGGCAAUUGUGUACCAUUUUCAUUACUUCGAGGGUAUUUUAGGCCCUUUUCCGUUAAUAAUAUAAUCUUUCUUAUUUUAAAUUACUUUUCAUGAAAUAUAAUGAUCUAAGUAUGUCAAAUUUCAUCUAAUAGUUCCUUCAGUUUUUCAUGAAAAAUUUACUUUUCUACAAAUAGUAUUUAAUAAUUUUUAAGAAAUAAUAACUUAUAACUUAUUAUUCUUAAAAAUGAGGCCCUUAAAUUCGGAGGCCUAAGAUACAUGUUUUUUUCAAGUAUUUUGCAACAACUGCAAUAUUUCAUGGAGUUUCCCACACUCCAUUAAGUACCCUUUUACAUAUCAAAGAAUCUCUUUCUAAAACAACAAGCAUUACAUUGUGAGUGCAGCAAUACUCUGCCCCAAACAUUAGGGCUUCCAUUUCUUCCAUCAACACUGAUUCCUUCCUAAUAUUUUUUGUUUCUGCAUAUACAGAUUUUCCCUCAACAGCUCUGAUACAGAAUGCACUAGAAGAGUUGCCAGUCAAAGCAUCCAAUCCUCCAUCCCUAUUAUAUUUGAAGCUCAGUACAGGACAUGUCUGUCUCACCACUUUACAAGAUAUCACUAGUCUGUAAUUUUCAAAGAACAUGAUCAUUAAAGGCCAAUCAUCAGGAAUAUCAGCUAACCAAUGGUACAAAUACUUAACUCACAUAACCAAGUUACCCCCCCCCCCCCAUAUAGAUAAAAUACAUUCUGCCUCCAUUACUUAUUUUGUUCCUUCUUUUUCAAAAUUCCACCCAAUAAAAAUAGGCACAUGAAGAGUCAAAGGUUUAAGUUAAGAAGCACAUUCAAACUUCCACCAAAUAUCACACAUUUGUUUCAGCUGAACACCGUAAGAUUUUGUCAUGCCCCAAGAGCACCCUUUAGACAUGGCGCAAUGUACUUGAUCCCGAAGGGUCUCAUACAAGCCUCAUAGCAUUCAUAACAUUCGAUUAUAAGAAAAAUGGUAUGAAAUUAAAAUUAUCUAUUUAAAACCAUACAAUGCAAAAGUUCAUUUAAAGAUGCAAUGGAAGUCUACCAUCUCACAUGACUAUUUAAACAAGACAUUGAAAACAAAAGAUAGGGUCACCACCAUUUACAAUCGAAAGCCUCAACAUGUCUAAACAUAGUCUACUACAAAUGAAAGGAAAUGAACAUCUAAGCACUUGUCCUCGAUCUAUGAGGACAUACCUUUUUUGACUUGGAAGAAACUCAAGUUCAAGCUUUGACUAGAGAAAAAGCACUAAAAGUCCGGAACCUAAACUUGUAGUAAAAUAAGAGAAAUAUGGGUUAGCACAAUUAAGCAAUAAGUAUGAUAGCUAUGCAAAAACAUGCUUGAAACAUACAUUUUGUUUGAAAUCCACGCAUAUGCCAUUUUCAUAAAACAUCGUGAAUAUAAGCAUAAUAGGCACAGUAUACAAACAUAACCAACAUACAAGUCAUAUUUUCACACUUGAACAUAAUCAACAUAUAAACCCAUAAGUCAUAUUAUCACAUUAAAGUCUUCAUCUCAAGUAACCCCCAAACUAUACUUUGUGCAAUGUAUGAAUAGUGUCUCAUACCACUAUCCACACGAAGUACCACUUAAAGGCUACCUAAAGUGAACUUACCAUUCGACUUUUCCAUCUUUACACAAUACUCAAUCAUAAGAAACAUAAAUUUUACAUAAGUCACAUCAUCAUAUUAGGACCAUCAUCUAAGAUGACCUUAAGUCAUGCUUUUUCAAUGCAUAAGUAAUCUCCCACCCAUAAUACUACCCACACUAAGUACUUUCUUGAAUCCACCAUUGACUAGGCAUAUACAUGUUCAUUAAGUCAAGACAAUGGAAUAACUCAUAAUACAAUCCAAAUAAGACAUACAUGAUUUCAUUAAGCAUAUAAGUCAAAAUUCAUUGUUGAUUAAGGACACAUUCAUAUAUAGGUCAGUAAGACCUUAGAGAACUCACUCUAGCCCUCUUAAUACAUACUCAUGCAAUGCAUGGAUGACAUCCCAUAAUACCACCACGCUUCAUAGAUCUUCUCAAGAAACCAUAAUGAAUAUCUCACAUGAUGGGAAUAAGCGUAUAACUUACAUAGACCAUGAGAGAUAGGUCAUGGAAUCCAAUGUCAUAAAACUCUACAUCGUAAAAGUUGAUCAACUUGCGUUACGUCGAUCGGUAAGUAGAUCCACUAGCUAUCCUAUGCGAGCACAUGGUUAUGGGAUAAAAAGGUUGCUACUAGAUACCCCGCCUUAACUCACAUAUGGGUAUCCACCCCAAGAGAUUGCUCUCUACUCAUGGAUGAGUAUCUAUCUCAUUCAAUACCCUCUCGGUUCUUAGCCUACAUUGCCAUAUGGUAUAUAAUUUCUUUAGUUCAUCAUUAAAGGAAAAGAGAUUGUUACUAGACAUUCUGCCCCAACUCACGGGUGAGCAUCAAUCUCAAACCCCACAUUCAUUCAUUAGUGUACAAUUGAGAAUGGCCUCUGAAUUAACAUAUCUUCAUUACCAUAAUCUGAGAAACUUCAUUCAUUCAAGAGUGUGUGUAUACGUGAGAAUAGCCUUUUACAUUACCAACAACAUUUAUGAAAUUGCUUUCUAAUAAUAAUCAUAGCACAUUCAUAGUAAUCACACACAUAUAAUCCUCAUCAUAUUCAUAUAUUACCCAUUUAUACUUUGUCUUUCAAGAUCAUGAUCACAAUAUACACAAUUAAUAUGUAAACACUUCCACCUUUCAAGUGGAUCAAUAGUUCAAGCAUAAUUCUACUUUAACAUGUAAUUGAAUCAUAACUUACCCUUCCAAGGGUCAUACUUCCAAAUCAUCACCACACACAACAAUUGAAAUAAUAAACAUGAAUAUUAACUCAAUUCAAUAACUAAAACAUCAUAAAUUCAAUUAGAGUAUUCACCCAAUCAUCAUUCAUUCAAGCCAACAUUCACGAAAAUAAGUCUUGCGGGAAAUCAUGGGUUCAUGGGGAAUUUCUUCAAUCAUUCACCUUAAAACAACAAAUUAAUCAUACGAUAAGUUCAUUUAAGCAGUUGAAAUCGUUUUAUGAAAGAACCUAUUAUUUGAGAGAAACCCUAGAAUUUUGGGUAAAUUUCAUCUUUGAAAAGAGAGUUUUGAGGGCUUCUUAGGUGAUAGCUACCAAGAAUCAAAACUAUCAUACCUUGAUAUUGAUUUCCCAAUAUGAAACACCUUGAAAUCACCAAACCCAAGCUUCAAUGGUUUCUUUCUUCUUCCUUGAGUUUAGAGAGAGAAAUUUUAAGAGAAGAACUUUUGGGGUUUUGAUUUGGGUAUUUGAAAAUAAUGAAGUUAAUGAAGUGUUUUAAGACUUAAAACUAUUUAUAUUAAUUAUAUAAAAUAUUUAAAAUCAACACCACUUAAUAAUUAACUAAAACAAAAUUACUUAAAACUCCUAAAUUUGGGCAGCCCGUCAGGGACCACACCCAACUUCACGGCUCAUGAAGGGGGACCACGGCGCGUGGUAAUGCCCGUGGUCCCUAGGCAGUGUGCCCUCUUUUACUUUAUAAAACUAAGAUGCUAAGGAAUCUUCACAGACACUUCUAUGGGUCGUGGUCAAGACCAGUGACUGUGAAGUGGUCCAUGAAGUUUGAAUAGUAGCUUGGGCAAAGUGCCUUGCCUCCCAUACCACCAAGUGACCUUCACGGCCACUGGCCAUGAAGUGGUCCGUGGACUUGGGACAGUGUUUGUCCAAGCUUGGGCAAGCCUUGGCCUUCCUUGGCUUUGCACUUUCCCUUGCAACCCUUAACCAACAUUAAAAAGGGUCUUUCAAUUAUGGAGUCUAUAUUGUAUCUUGACGUUGACUCACAAAACUCCUUCAAACAAGAAUCGGGACAACAUUACAUGUCAAGAAACCUCAUUACAAACUCUAACACAAGGUCGUUGGGAUCUAGUUUCACUUAUUCAUUUUACGCGUCAUUAUGCAUUUAAUACCAGAUGCCCCAAUAAUCAUCUGCCAUAGUUUUAAAGCAUCUGGACAUUGAACAAAAAGAUGUUCAAAAGUUUCUUGAUGAUAACUAUUGCAACAACAUUUCACUUCACUUUCCACCUUGAUUUUCACAGACACUUUUCGACUGGGAAUUCUCUUCCUCCGGACUCUCCACAUGAAAAAUGAGAUUUUUAAUGGAAUUCCCUUUGGCCAAAUAAAUUUCAUCUCCUACUGAUGUGAACAUCUCCUUCUUAAUUCCUCCCAGAAAGAUUUAAUAGUAAAUUUUAUAUAGCUUGUUAUCAUCCACCAGGCCUUAUCCCAUUCCCAUUCUUCUGAUUUCCCUACUACGGCCAGUACCUUGUGAAUUUGAUUGAUCACUUAAUCAUCAAAUAUUUGCAUCAAUAGUUCAUUAUUUCACUUACCUUGUAUCAACAACUACUUGAUAUCUUCAUAAGUAUUCUUGUCUCUUGCGUGCAGUCUUAUAUUGCUUGUAUGUAGUGAUUGUGAACACCGUGAUGAAGCGUGCAAUAUGUUAUGAUGUUGAAGUCUUUGUCGGUGAGUUUUAUGAUAUCGAGGUCUUUAUCGACGAGUGUUGUGAUGUCAAGUUUAUUUCUAAUUAGUGUUUAUAAAAGAAUAUGGAAAAUAAUUUUAGCUAGUAAUUUGAUAUAAAGCCAAUGGAAAAUGGUUCUGUCUAGUAAUAUAAAUAAAACCGAUGAAAUGGUUUCUCCUAGUGAUAUUGUUCGAUGGGAAAUGGUUUCAGUAAGGAUUGAUCAGUGUGACUUAAUGCAUUUGAUGCUUAUACAUGACUCAAUUACUUGUUAAUUGUGAUUGGUGUACUUAUUACAUGUAGCUAAACUAUUUGACAUUGAGAUUGACUUAUUUGAUUUGUUAAUAGUUGGAUUGUGAAGAUUGAACUGUGAAUAUUGGGUCUUAUGAGUCGUGUAUUGUAGAAUUUCUAAGUUAUCCCGAUUUUGUGCAGGUUGUAGGUUGAGGAGGUUCCAUUGGAGUGUAAGGGGUAUUGGAUUUCUAGCUAGUUGUUUUCUAGUAGGUUGUUUUCUGGGUACCGUGUUGUUCGUACUCACCCUCGCUUUUACACUUUUGUAGGUUCUAAGCCCAGAAACACGUAAUCUUUUUGUUCUUCUUCUCCUGACAUCGAGGCUCAUUGAAGGAUUUUAGAGGUACCUGCUUGUCAUCAAGGUGGGCCCCUCUUUUCCUAUUCAUUAAGCUUUGUUUUAUUUAAAAGACAAACACCGCGACUUGUAUUUAUCUUUUGAAAUCGAUAAUUUCAUUAGUUGCGUGUACGCGUGCCAAACAAAUUUUGGGGGGGGGGGGGUUAUUAGAAAAGUACGUUUUUCUCUUUAUCUUGUUCUCAUAUUUACUUUUUUCCGUAUUUCACUCAUUUUCUUGGGUUGAGGAUGUCUUGUCUUGGUGGGAAAAGAAAAAUGUCAUAACGUCCAUUAUUUUGGGCUGUGACAUAGGGCGAGGUCCCAAACAAUAUAUUUCAGGUGAUGUUUAGUGAAUUUAAGGUAUAUAUAUGUUCAGUUAUAUAUAUUUUUAGUGAAGUUUAAUACUUUAGUGUGCUUUACUUUAUUAAUUAUCUAAGGCUAUUAAUUUUUUAAACUAUUUGUGCUUGGGAGCCCUAAUACAAUAUGAUAAGUGCAAUCACAUUUGAGAGAAAGACAUUCGCUAGACUUUCUAGUUGGCUAAACAAAUCCUAGUAUAAUGAUAAGUGUGGGAUUUGGAUGUUACCUCAUAUUUUGAGCAAUUGCACCAGUAUUGAAACACGGAUGAAUUCAAGGCAUUGUCUGAACAAGCCAAAAAAGUUAGUAAUAAUCUUAAGGGUGGCUCGUUACACAUCAGAAGUUUAAAGAGCGUUGGAACAACUAUAAGAAAGAUUAUAAGUUCUAAUCUAAAAUUUUAAAGUAAAUAGUUAGUUGAUUAAGUAUUAUUUGAUUAAUAUCGUAUAAAAUUUUACUUCUAUUUAUAGGAAAUAGAGUUGGGUCGCAUUCCCCUUGAACCGCAGAUUUUCAAGAUGUGGGUGGAGUAAAUGACUGAACAAACUUUUGUUUUGAUGCUAAUUUUAUUUUUAAUAUGUAGGGAGAGUAUCAAUGGUACGUGCAUGAGAAAAUGGAAAAUCCAAUCCAGAUCACACCUAAAAUAUCCACUCUAAUUGGACUGAAAUAAUGGUAGCGGGACGCACAAGGGAAGAAUCUAUUGUUUUGGCUCUCUAGAUGAUGUACAAUGACUUCAGUCAGGUCUAGAAGUUAUUGAAUUGUCACGGCAAGCAAAGGCAAAUUGACUAGCUGCUAUGUUGGAUUAAGUAGCGAAAUUUCCACAAGCACUGGCAUAGUCUAAGCAAAAAAGGAAUUGUUGAUCAAAAAAGGAAGAAUAACACCGUUCAACAAAUUGAUCAAAAAAUAAGUGUUCAACCUUUGCUCGUCGGUCUGCUUCUUCAUUCCCUACCAAGGACACUGAUGACAGUGAUGAGGAUGAAUACAUAUAGAGUCCACUCCUUAGCUUGUGUUCCUUUAAUUUAUGAGCAUUUUAGACUUUUGAACUAAUUUUAAAAGACACUAUAAGUCUUUAAAAUGUGAUGUAUGUGUUUUAUAAAGUUCAAUUAAGUUUGUUAUUAUAUAUUUUGUUUAUUAUAUUUUUUGUUUGAUAUAUAUGAAUGAGUUGAAUUCAAUUGCAUGUGGACAACAGAAACAAACAAUUUAUGUUGUCAAAAAUAUUGUAGAAAAGCAAUGGACAUGAUGAUUUUGUCCAUCGCUUUUAUGUUUUUUAUCUUAAAAAAAAGUAAUAGAAAAAGCAAAAGACAUAGUCCUCUAGUUUGUCACUUUUCUGCAUUUUAAAAAAAAAUUCCAAAAAAGCGAUGAACUGCGACAUUUUUUCCGUCGCUUUUCUACAUAUUUAAAAAAAAGAAAAAGAAAGGGAAUGUGUUUCCUUGUCCGUCUCUUUUCUGUAUUUUAAAAAAAUAAAAAGAGAAAAACCACACACUCCAUCGUUCUAUAGGGACAACUGAUAAUUUUCUUCACAAAAAAGACCCAUCAAAACUGUGGAGUCUGUUGCUUUUUACAAAGUUUCGAGGACAAAAGCAACAGACUCAACUAUAUCAUUUUUUUCAAUAUUUUUCUACAAAAAAAAAAGAAGAAGUGAUGGACUGUGUUGCAUUGUCCAUCGCUUUUUGCAUAUAUUUUUUUUAAAAAAAGUGACAUACUGUCACUUUUUUGCAUUUUAGAGUUUUCUUUAAAAAAGAAGAUAAAAAGUGAUGCAAUCCUUCGAAAAGUGUCGAGGACCAAAGCGACAGACUAGAGUGCAUUUCUUUUCUGUCGAUUUUGACCAAAAAGUAAUGCAUUUCAUUGCCUUUGUCCAUCUUUUUUUGAUAGUCUUUUAGUCAUAUGUCAAAAUUGAAAACGAACAAUCUUUAUAUACGGAUUAAGAAGGAAAGUAGGACAAACAAAUUAAUAAGAAAGAAAUAUUUAUUUAUUUUAUUUGUUUUUUUAAAACUUUUCCUACCGUAGCACUAGCUCAUUUUUUAACAAGUUUGAUAUGAUAAAUUGAAAAAAUAACGAAAUAAGCUAUUAUGAAUAAUGACUUAUAUAAAUACAUUGAUGACGUAAAAAUUAUUUAAUGACUUAUACACAUACAUUGAUAAUGUAUAAUAUGUGUGGUUAUAUAAAUAAAAGUGGUUUGUUAUUGGAAGGCUAUAAGAAGACGAUAUAUAAGCAAGAAUUUGUGACACACCAUGUUUAUCGUUCCUUAUUUGAAGUAAUGGAUCAAAAUCAUGUUCAUUUAUGAGUAUAUAAAUAAGGUGAUUGUAUGAAUGAAAAUAAGCACAAAGAGGAACAAAUAAUGUUGCUUGUUUAGGAAUAAUUAAUUAUCCUAUUUUUCUCACAACACUUUUUUAAGGGUAGUAGUGGUGUAAAGGAUUGACCUUACAUCAACUACCAUCAACACCCCUAGCAAAUUUUAACAAUAACCCCAACUUACCUACCAACCUACCUACCUUAUUAAUUAUAAUAAUGGAGUAUUCUUAUAGAACAAAAAUUAAUGUAUUAUUCAUUGUACUCAUUCUCUUUGUAUUUGCUGCACUCGGGACAGCAAUAAACGCUCCGAGGAGGAAACUAACUAAGAAAUACAGAGGCCCGUGUAUGGCCGUGAAUUCAAUUGACAAGUGCUGGAGAUGUGACCCUUUCUGGGCUGAAGAUCGCCAAAAAAUGGCUGAUUGUGCGUUGGGCUUUGGUAUCAAUGCAAUGGGAGGAAAGUAUGGUCCAUACUACAUUGUCACAGAUAAUUCUGAUGAUGACGUUGUUGAUCCUAAGCCUGGAACUCUCCGAUUCGGGGUGAUCCAAAAAGGACCAUUGUGGAUCACAUUUGCCAGAAGUAUGAGAAUCCGAUUGACCAGGGAACUUAUUGUUAGUAGCAAUAAAACAAUUGAUGGACGUGGAAAAUACGUUCACAUAGCAAAUGGAGCUGGAAUUAAGAUACAAAGCGCAUCUAAUGUUAUUAUCUCUAAUCUUCGAAUUCACAAUAUUGUACCUACCGCAGGUGGCCUGCUAAGGGAGUCUGACGACCACCUUGGCCUAAGGGGCGCAGAUGAAGGUAAUAUAAAUGACUAUAUAUAUUGAUUGAAAAAAGAGAAGAGAAUUUAAAUAAUUUAAUUAUGCAUACAGGUGAUGCCAUCAGUAUCUUCAAUUCUCAUGAUAUAU
rnacentral:lncRNA from 1 species